GGGCUUCUGAUGUUAAAUCAACAUUAUAGCAGAUUUCAGUGAGACUUAUCGUCAAUGAUAUGAUUGUUACACAUACCGCAGCCC